GGAAUUCGCCCUUAGAGUUUGAUCUUGGCUCAGGAUGAACGCUGGCGGCGUGCCUAACACAUGCAAGUCGAACGGGGGUCAUAUGAUGGAAGUCUUCGGAUGGAAGUGGUGUGACUCGAGUGGCGGACGGGUGAGUAACACGUGAGCAACCUGCCUUUUGCUGGGGAAUAACUGUGGGAAACCAUGGCUAAUACCGCAUAUUGUACCGACUGGGCAUCCGGUUGGUAUGAAAGGAGAAAUCCGGCAGAAGAUGGGCUCGCGUCCGAUUAGGUAGUUGGUGGGGUAACGGCUCACCAAGCCUACGAUCGGUAGCCGGACUGAGAGGUCGAACGGCCACAUUGGGACUGAGAUACGGCCCAGACUCCUACGGGAGGCAGCAGUGGGGAAUAUUGGGCAAUGGGGGAAACCCUGACCCAGCGACGCCGCGUGAAGGACGAAGGCUUUCGGGUUGUAAACUUCUUUGGGGAGGGACGAAAUUGACGGUACCUCCAGAACAAGCCACGGCUAACUACGUGCCAGCAGCCGCGGUAAUACGUAGGUGGCAAGCGUUAUCCGGAUUUACUGGGUGUAAAGGGCGCGCAGGCGGUUCUGAAAGUCAGAUGUGAAAGAUCAAGGCUUAACUUUGACAGGUCAUCUGAAACUUUGGGACUUGAGUAUCAGAGGGGAAAGUGGAAUUCCUGGUGGAGCGGUAAAAUGCGCAGAGAUCAGGAGGAACACCGGUGGCGAAGGCGACUUUCUGGCUGACAACUGACGCUGAGGCGCGAAAGCGUGGGGAGCAAACAGGAUUAGAUACCCUGGUAGUCCACGCCGUAA
rnacentral:rRNA from 1 species